GACGAACGCUGCCGGCGUGCUUAACACAUGCAAGUCGAAGGGCGUGGCGAACGGGUGAGUAACACGCGAGUCCCCUGCCCUUUUCUUUGGGAUAAGCCUGGGCAACUGGGUCUAUUACUGGAUGGAUUGGGAUGGGCUCGGGGCUUAUAAGCUUGUUGGUGGGGUGAUGGCUUACCAAGGCUUUGACGGGUAGCCGGCCUGGGAGGGUGGUCGGUCACGCUGGGACUGAGAUACGGCCCAGACUCCUACGGGAAGCAGCAGUGGGGGAUGUGGAACGAGUGACAGAAGGCUGAUGCAGCGACGUCGUGUGGGGGAUGAAGGCCUGCGGGUUGUAAACUCCUUUCGCCAGCGGAAUGGGAGUGGGUAAAGAAGCGCCGGCUAACUACGUGCCAGCAGCCGCGGUAAUUC
rnacentral:rRNA from 1 species